GCCGGGAGUAGUGGCGCGCGCCUGUAGUCUCAGCUCCUCGGGAGGCUGGGGUGGGAAGAUCGCUUGAGCCCAGGAGUUCGAGGAUGCAGUGAGCUAUGAUCGCACCACUGCACUCUAGCCUGGGCGACAGAGCGAGACCCUGUUUCUU
rfam:Homo sapiens chromosome 19, GRCh38 reference primary assembly.